AGUUCUUUCUUGCAGCUCUCUCUUCUCUAACCCUCUUUCUAUAAAGUCUAGCUGCUUUGCUAGAGCAGGCCUGGCCUCUUAGCUCCUUCUCAACUUAGAAAAACCCACAGGACUCUACCAGGAUCUCCCCAGUCUGCCUGUGGGCCUGAAAACCUUCUCAAGACAACAAACUGGGGGCAAUCUAGAGGAUCUGUCUCACUGGCUUUCCAUCGCUCAGGUGAGAUCUACUCUCAAUCAGGACCGUGUGGGGACACAGCAAGUCAAGUCAACUUGUCACAGUUUAUGUGCUUGGACACUGGAUUAUAUUGCACUUCCCCCAAGGAGAAAGGGAAACCUCUGUGAAGGGGAGUCCAACCCUGUCGUCUAUAGGAGAGGUUGCCAUAAAACUCAGCAGAGGACUGAAAAAGAUGGAGACAAGGAAACCACCAUCAACCUGGGGAGAAAUCAAUGCGCAAGUCAACUGCUAUGGAAACGCAGGCUUUCUUUGGAUAGCAAAGAGAAAGAUGAAGUGCUUAGAGAUCCAAAGUGUUGAGAUCCACAAAUGUGGUUUAACAACUACGCCUCUGAGCACCAGGAUGAGAAGCACCUUGAGCCUAAUGAGGUCGAUUAUAGAAACAAUUGCCAAGUCGAGGAGCCAUUUUCAAAGCCACUUGCAACAGGCUUACACACUGCAUGAGAAGGAUGCUCUCACCUGGAUCCCACUUCCUUGCCAAGAACCUGGCAUUCAGCAAGCAGCAAUAAUACUCACCGAUGAUGCAUGAAAUAGGAGUAACAGGGAAAGUGACAGCAGAUCCCCAUGUGGGGGAAAUUGGAAAGCAUCAACACACGUCUGUGUACCUAACAGAGCACAAUUACUACAUUUUAUUUUGUUUCCACAGUCAAAACCUACAUGAACAUCACCAUUCAGUUCUGUUCUGGGCAAAGAUCCAAGCUCAUCUUUGGUACAGUUGAUUUUGAAGCCUUGCAGUCAAUCAUGUCUUCACAAUUUGCUCUUCUUUUUUUUUUUUUUUCUUCUUUGCUUAAGAUUUUCAGCAUCCUCCUGAUUUCCACUUCUUGUCUGGAAGCCUUGAGUCAUCUGUUCUGGCAGCCUUACCAACCCAAAUCAGUCAUUUUCUCUAAAUUAUAUUGAAAUCGGGAUCUUGCUA